CCAUAAUAUCUGAAAUAAUUAAUGAGAGGCUUCAAGUAGAUAUUCCAGAUUGAAAAUGAUCAUUUUAACGAAACUUUUCGUUUUUUGAAUACUGUUGUGUAUUAUAACUCUUUCUCACCAAUUAUUUUUUUUCAGGUAAUGCUGGACCGAAUGACACCGAAUCAAUAAUACUGGGCUAAGAUCAUGUAAUUCCGAAAAACGAGAUGAUGGCAACACUGUCACUCCUGCGGUGGUUAUUUGAGUCAAUCCUCAAUCCCCCAAGAGAUGACUAUACUUAACACAAUAGUUGAGUCAUUCCGAAAGAUGAGAUGAUGACAACACUGUCACUCCUGUGGUUCGUUGAGUUGAGCCAAAUGAGGACAUGAGAAUGCCACUCUGGCUCACGUGGUUUAUCGAGAUGCACGAAGUUUAAAUGUCAAAUUGAAGUGUCAUUUCAGUUGUUCAUAACCAUAGAUUAAAUGAACAGAGAAUAGAUG